UCCGAUAUGGCCUAGUGGCUAGGAUACCUGGCUUUCACAACAGGAGGCUCUGGUUCGAUUCUCGGUAUCGGAA